AGCACAGCAAGAGGGAGAGCUGCACAGCGCCUCUUGUUCUGCUGGCUUCCCAGCGAAGUGGGCGGAGGGAAGGAAGAGAGCCUAACCCUAACCCUAACCCUUCCGCCAGCAGAACAAGAGGCUCUGCGCAGCUCUCCCUCUUGCUGUGCC